GUGUGUGUGUGUGUGUGUGUGUGAUGUGUUCCUAAUAUGCAGUUUAGAUAAAUAUAUUGGGAGCACUUUGCAUGCAGACAAAAAGCUGGAGGGA
rnacentral:pre_miRNA from 12 species